rnacentral:lncRNA from 1 species
UACAGAGACACCUUUCUCCAUCAAAGAGAGAGAUGUGAAUAGACUUUUCAGGAGACAAAACCCCCGUAAGGCUUGUGGACCGGACUCUGUCUCUCCCUCUACCUUAAAGCACUGUGCUGAUCAGCUGUCUCCAGUGUUCACAGACAUUUUUAACACCUCACUGGAGACAUGCACCGUACCAGCCUGUUUUAAGGCCUCCACCAUCGUUCCUGUCCCUAAAAAGCUGAGGAUCACAGGACUUAAUGACUACAGACCCAUCGCUCUGACAUCUGUGGUCAUGAAGUCCUUUGAACGCCUCAUGCUCUCCCACAUCAAGGACAUCACCGACCCCCACCUGGACCCCCUGCAGUUUGCCUAUAGAUCCAACAGGUCCGUAGACGAUGCUGUAAACCUGGCUCUCCACUUCAUCCUCCAGCACCUGGACUCCCCAGGCUCCUACGCCAGGAUCCUGUUUGUGGACUUCAGCUCUGCUUUUAAUACAAUAAUCCCAGCUCUCCUUCAGGACAAGCUUUCCCAGCUGAACGUGCCAGACUCCACCUGCAGGUGGAUCACAGACUUCCUGUCUGACAGGAAGCAGCACGUGAAGCUGGGAAAAACCAUCUCUGCUCCCCGGACCAUCAGCACUGGAUCUCCUCAGGGCUGUGUUCUUUCUCCUCUGCUCUUCUCCCUGUACACCAACAGCUGCACCUCCUCUCACCAGUCGGUCAAACUCCUGAAGUUUGCAGACGACACGACCAUCAUCGGUCUCAUCGCUGAUGGAGACGAGUCUGACUACAGGUGGGAGACAGACCGGCUGGUGUCCUGGUGCAGCCAGAACAACCUGGAGCUCAAUGCUUUAAAGACAGUGGAGAUGAUAGCAGACUUCAGGAAGAACCCAGCCCCCCUCACCCCCCUCACCCUGGGAGACUCUACAGUGAGCUCUGUAGAGUACUUCUGCUUCCUGGGGACCAUCAUCACUCAGGACCUCAAGUGGGAGCUGAACAUCAGCUCCCUUAUCAAAAAAGCUCAGCAGAGGAUGUACUUUCUGCGGCAGCUGAAGAAGUUCAGUCUGCCAACAAAGAUGAUGGUGAACUUCUACAGCUCCAUCAUCCAGUCCAUCCUCUGCUCCUCCAUCACCAUCUGGUACGCUGCAGCUACGGCCAAGGACAAGGCCACACUGCAGCGUAUCAUCCACUCUGCAGAGAAGGUCAUCGGCUGCAAUCUGCCCUCCCUCCAGGACCUGUACGCCUCCAGGAUUUUGAGGCGUGCAGGAAAGAUUGUGGCCGACCCCUCCCACCCCGGUCAUAAACUGUUUCAAUCUCUCCC